rnacentral:tRNA from 1 species
ACUCUAGUGGCUCAGACGGUAGAGCAUCUGUCUGCAAUGCAGAAGACCCAUGUUCGAUCCCUGAGUU